rnacentral:lncRNA from 1 species
CUUCCUGCUUGUGUAUCCCAUACAAGGCCUAGACCACCAGAGAUCGAGGCCUGACGUUUUGGAAUGAUCCGGAUCAGUGCCCGUCUAUGUACAUAAAUCUGCCUCCAAAUCCCGCGGUCGUAGGUAUCUCUUCUUGCCCCUGCGGUGCAACCCUGCCACCACUGCCACUCCCAUCAGCUCGGGUCAUCCUCACUUGUGGAAAUGCUCGAGCAGCCUCAGGGAGGCCAGACUGGGGAAAAAAGGCCGGUGUGGCUGGGCUCGGCCUGGUGGGGCUGAGCAGGGGAGGGGGAGGCGCUGCGCCGCUCCCCGGCUCAUUCUGGGUAAAGGGUUGGUCUUUCUGAACCUCAGAAGGUGGUGGAACCACAUCCUGGUCACACCCGCCCACCCCUCGCCCUCUCCCUGCUCAGCCUGGCGCUGCCUUCCUAACCACCUACCCCGGCCGUGCGGGUUCCCAGAACCAGACCCUGCGCCAGCAGUGUCCUGGCUCCUCAGGGGGCGAGCACUGGAAGCCGGGGCCCAGGCCGCAGAGGUCCUUGGCCAGGGAUGUGUGGGUCCUGGUUGUGCUAGGAAGCUGCUAGCCGUCCGGUGUGGUGCCCGGAAGGCCUGGUCACGACAGUCCCCUGCCAGGCCACUGCUUCCUGUCUCAGAUGUCACCAGGUCCCCAGCACGGCACCCUCUUCUGGCAUGGCCUGGCCGCUGCUGCUCAUCUUCAUCGCUGUCCACCCAGGUGACCGGGUUUGCCCAGGACGCUAAGGGCGCGGCGCGGGAGGGAGCGCGUGGGGAGGCUGCACAAGGAUGCUGGGAAGCAGGUUCUGGGGUCUGAACCCUGCCGGGGGGCGGCGAACUCUUCACCUCUGUGACAGGAGGAGGGUGGAAGGCCCAGGUUCACAGUCCCUCAGGUCACCCCUGCGUCCUUCCCAGGAAGACAAAAUUGAAAGGACCACAAAAAGGGCUGGAAGGAAAGAGGGACUUAAAAGAAGCAGCCAGGAUUUUGGUCGAUUUUUUAAAGGGUAUUGAUUUGAUGUUUAAGAAGUAUUGUUACGCGGGAGGCUGAGGCAGGAGGAUUGCUGCAAGUUCCAGGCCAGCCUGGGCUACAAAGUGAGUUCAAGGCCAGCCUGAAAUGUGUAGCGAAACCCUGUCUCAAAAAGACAAGAAAAACCUUGGGAUAUAGCUCAGUGGCACAAGCUCCUGCCUGGCAAGUGCAAGGUCCUGAUUU